rnacentral:rRNA from 1 species
GAGUUCAAACGAAACAGACAAUACAACCAAGGGCUGGUCUCAUCUGAUCUCAGAAGCUAAGUAAGGUUUGGCUUGGUUAGUAUUUGAAUAGGAGAUCGCCUGGGAAUACUAGCUUUAAGCUUA